UGACCCAGUCGUCUCGUCGGUUCCAUGGGAGCGCCACUCUUGGAACAACGAACUUCAAAGCUCUUACCCGAAACCAAAGCAGGUUCAGCAAGUCCAAGCGGUUCGUCAUUGCUAUCCUGAGAUAAUGAUGAAGCAUUUUCGGCGCUCUUUCGUGAACUUUCGGACUAGAAUGAUGUUAAAGGAUUGAAAACCGUAUUUGGGUUUUUUGUUGUUUCUCCCAAGCUAGAGCUUCAAGGAUUUUCCCACCACCACCGCCGCCUCCGCCGCCGCCCCACACAACGGACAAAACAGACCACGCCAACCGCCGAUAUGAACUACUUCAAAAAUACUUCAAGGACAGAGCCUUCCUCGAUCCCCACCGCCACCAUGAAGGAUUCGUAGAUAGUAAACGGAAAAUACCCAGUUGUCCAGAUCCUCUUCAUAAUUAGUAGGAUUAAUUCAUUUUUCCAUCCAAAAUACCCCCGUUUUUCUCUUUCUUUUCUUUUUUUCUGCUCGUUCUCUGAGAUUCAACGGAGAAAACCGGGGUUAUUUUGGUUCUCCUCUUUGUUAUAUAUGAAAUCAUAAAGUUUCUUCUUUUCAAUUCA